rnacentral:tRNA from 1 species
GAACUGGUAUGCCCCAAAAAGAGCACCAGAUUCCUAAUCUGGGGGUCGCGCGUUCGAAUCGCGCCGGGAUCACCA